AGGAAGCAGGUGAGGACAAGAGGAAGCACUAACAAGACAGUGCAGGAGAACAUUAAGCCAGUCCUCAAUGCCAGAAAAAGUACAGUGCCUCUGGGCAGUGCAAAUCUAGGGAGAUUGUUUGGGCUGGAAUAUAAAAGUGUGAGUAACAGGUGAUAAUAAGCAAUAGCACAAAGAGAGACUGAAAUCAAUCACCUGAAUAUAAGGCACAUGCUACCCAGCGAACUGAGUACGUAAAUAAGGUACUCCAAAUGCUGGAUCCAAACUUUGCUAAAAUCAGUGUGAAGGUUCCUCAGGAGACUUCAAGUUCCACAGUACCUUCUACACAAAAAGAAUCCAUGUACAUAUAGUUGUGUCGUUGACAGGAGAACAAACUCACAACAACAUGAGGAAAAUCUGAGGGAUAUAAAAAAGACCAAAAAUAUAAAUAAUAGCAAAGAUUUAAUCUAAAAAAUAUGUUUUAUUAACCUAAUGAAUCAUCUUUUUUGACUUUAAUUAACCAAAUAAGUAUACUGAUCAAUAUGAAAUUGUAUGUAAUUAUACCUGUUUAAUGCUUUACUCAUUCUUUUUUACUUAGAUUGUGGCCCAAUUUAAUUAAUCUCACCUCCAGUUGUCUACAUGUAGAGAUCUUCUUAAGAUUGAGUGAAAUUGGUAUGACCUCUCUGAGAGAUAUUUGAUGAUAAUUACCAUUUCUGUUAUUAUUUUUACAACAUACAAUAGCAAGUAAUUCCUAUUACAUAAAAACAAAUAAAAGAGUUCUCUAAGUAGCACUAUUUUAGUACUAUGAUGGGAAAAUCAUGAGGUACAUUCUUUCAAUUAAGGUGAUUAUUUUGUUUUGAUAAAGGGGCAAAAAUAAAUGCAGAAUGAAGGCUGAAUGGAAAAAAAAACCAUGAGAAAAUUAACACAGUAAAACCUCAACCCUGCAUUCUGAAACUGUAAAACCCAAAUGCAGAAAAUACUAUAGUUUUACAGACUUUCUGUAAUGUCUUAUAUUGUAUAUUAUGGUGUGCUCUGUCUUAUUUUCUCUUAAUUUAUCCCAGACAGCUUUCAGAAGGCAUGUGAGAACACGUAUUUUCAUUUAAGGAUGCUGAUUCAUUGUGAUUGUGCUGCAAUGAGUCCUAUAUUGUUUUUCCCUGGCUUGUGCGAGGAUCAGAAUUAAUAAUGUACAGUGGAUUAUCAAAGAGGGAAGGUGGCAGUGAGCCAUCUCAACUAUCAGAGACGACUGUGUGCUUCAGAGAGACCCAAGCUUUUAUCAUCCCUGAAAUCUCACAAAAGCGAGUAACAACAGCAAAGCAACAAAGCUCCUCACCCAAUCAACAAAAUAAGGAAAGCCUUGAGGAAAUCCAAGCACCUGAGGAAUCUACAGGAGAAGGUACCUCAUCCAUCUAGAACCUUGUUAAAAAGGAGUGAGGGAAAGGCCUUUUUAAGUGUGUCAGUGCAUCCCAGGUAGGGAUGCACCUGGCACUGGAUGCAGACAACAGCUGUCUCACCAGCAUCCAUAAUCUGUGCUGGUGGCUUCCUGGCUCUACCUGUGUGCCCUGAAUGCAAAAAGCAUCUGUUUCACAUUUAUUCAUUUACUCAGAUGGCAUUAUCUGCAUUACUUGCUACCUUUGGACACAAGACUCUCAUUUAUAAUUCAUAGUACACAGAUGCUUACAGAGAGUAGAAGCUUUGGCUACAUUACCUGUCACUCUUAGUAUAUUUUGUAUUCAUGGUGGGUAAAUAUACAAGUAUAAAGCUGCCAUAUUGUGUAUGACUAUCUAUAAUGCAUUAGCAAACAGUUGUUUGAUUAUUUACACUGUCAGUCUUUAUAGUUGGAGAGAUGUUAGAAUGGAAAAUGAAACAAACUGUGGGUUCACUCUCCCUAAUUUUCUUUUCCUUUCUCUGUUUUUGUGCAGAGCUCAUCCCUAAAACUUAGGUAACUUCCUAAGUUUUUGGAAAAUGAGGGUGGCUUUGUCUCAUUUUGCUUCUUGUGCUCCUCCCUUGAUAUGAUCACCAUUCAGGACUUGGUCAGAUAUUCACUAAAUUCAGCUGGCUUCAGAAGAUGAUUGCUAUUCUUUGCUUUCAUAGGCUCAUAAAGCCUGCUGAAAAUAUUAAAAAAAGAAAAAUAGGCAGGAAUAAAGAAUAUCAAAAAGAGGGAGUGAAUGUAACUGGGGAAACAUUCACUCAAUAUUACAUAUUAAGUAAUUUGCUCUUUAGGACUGAAGGAAUAUAUAGAGAAAAUAUCUUAACAGUACUUACCAAGAGCCAUCUGAAUCCAUCAAAUGCUGUUAAAAAAAACCAUUUUGGAACAAGGAGAACAUUCUGUAUGCCAUGUAUUGUUUUUAAAAGCUAUUUUUAGUGUGGUAAAUAUUAAAGGAUGUCAUUGUCCCUUGCAUGAGCUCUCACUCAUUUUUUAGGAAGCUUUGCCAGAGAUGCUUGACUUAAGAACCCAUUAAAAUGAAGAUAUGCUCAGGAACCUUGCAGGAAUAGUGCUUGAAGGCAUGGGCACCAAGCAUGCUUGGCAGCCUGGAAAGCUUACAGAGCUCACAGAAAAGGAAUGCCAUCACAUUAAAGAAUUAGCAUAGCCCCAGGCACCAGGUUUUUUUUAUGUUGGUUGGUUUUUUUUUCCCUUUUUUUUUCCCAGUAGAUGCGAAUGACAUUUCCUAUCUGAGACACUGUUUAAAAUAUUCCUUAUCCACAUGUAAGUUUUUUUAUGACUACAUUAAAAACCAAAAGGUUGGCAUGUUCCUGCUGACAUUUGCUCCUAUUCCUCUCUUUCACUGUAUCUCAAAUGAAUCUCUGAUGUUCAUCUCUCCUUCCACAACCUUCUCACUCUCUCCAAAUAUUGCUACUGCCUCCUCCUCGUCCCUUUUCUGCUAGGCAGAACUUGUUCUGUCAUUCUUCCUGAAGUCUACCAGAUGCCACAAAUUCAGAAAAACUCCCACCAAAAAAAUCCCUCUAAAGUCUUUUACCUUCUCAGCAGCGCCUCCAGAUCACUCUUUGAAAAUGCAAAUAAGAUAUAUUAAUAAAUGCAGAAAGAAUCUGAGCAUCAGUACCUGAUAACAUAAAAUUAACUUCUCUUUUUACUGACCCUAGUCUAUGAGAAUUGAACUUGGGGAAAAUUGAAGAAAUAAUCACUCAGCAGCCUCAUCAAUCAAACCAGCAGCUUAGGCUGCUAAUUAUUCCCUGGUGUGGAUACCUUGGCUCUUCUGACCACUCACCAAGGAAACUCAGGUUAUUGAUUCCACUGCAUGAAAAUAAUCCACCUAACUCUCAGUUCGUUUCUCGUGGGAAAUCUUCUUGCAUAAAGUUCUGACAAAGAACAUUUAACUAAAAAAUAUAGUUGCUGACAUCUAAACAUCUAAGCUUCAUAAUAUCCUAAUGGACUCCAUUUUGCCAGUUGCUUUCUCUAUAGCAAAAAAAAAUAAAACAAACAAACAAAAACAAACAAACAAAAAAAAAAAACAAACAAAAAAACCAAUCUAAACUGGCCUUUCUCCCCAUUAGUCAAAAUCUCUGUGUAGAAGCAGCUCACACCUUUGUUCAUGAGGCUGCAAACAGCCUGAAAGGCCAGGUCAGGAAGCUGCUGCUGUUUUUGGUUUCUUACAUCCAUGCAGUACAGUUUGAAAUUGCUCCAUCCAUCAGGCUGCUGCAGAUUGUUCUUUCAGUCUUUAUUAAUCACAGUGGGCCAAUCUCACUGCACCUCUGGUGUUUAUGUGGGGCAGAGCAGCCGUGACCUGGGUUUGGUGGCUUGUUUCCCCACCAAAAUCAGGAACAGCAGUGUCUGGGGAUAGUUACCCUGAAGUGCUCUGCAGAUAUGCCAGGAAAAGAAGGAAGUAUCCUGUUUCCAUGCAAGAGCUUCCAACAAUUUGUCCCUGACAAACUCCAGAUAUAGAUUCCCUUUUUAGAGGCUGUGAACAGCUAAGAACAGAGAGUGAGUGAAUUAGGUCAGAGAGCUGUGAAGCCAUUUUAAGUGAGAACUUCAAAACUAUCAUUUUUAGGGUAGAUUGGUAAUUUUGUGUCAGGGGUCAAGCAUUGUCCCACUGACUUUCAAUCCACAAUUCAAAAUUUUGUUUGAUUUCUAUAUUAUACUUCAGGAAGUAUUAAUGCUAAUUUUCUACCAAGCGUUGUUCCAGUUUUCAGCAACUGCAUAUUGAUAUUUAAGGGUCAUUGCUGAGUGACUUUGGAAAGUUUGCAUCACUGUUAUUAGCAUUAUUUAUCCUGUAAAGCGUCUGGGAAAACUUCACUGCUAGUCCCUAAAAAUAUUCAUGCUGGAGAUAUGUUUUUAUCCUCUGAUCUCAAUGGAUGCCUGCUGAAAACUUAGAAUCUGGUAGCAAAACCUUCAUGAUACAGAGCCUGAGACUCCCCAAGCAUCACUUCAGUAAGUCUUCAGCUUAAAUCCAUAAACACUCAGUAAAGACAGUUAUAGCAGAUCUUCACACUUUCAUAAAAAAACCCACAAUUUUGAUUUUUUUCUUGAAAGCUCUGAUUGCUUCACUGUUCUAAGGCCACUUUGGUAUAAGGAUUUUUUAUCUUGGCUGACAACUGCACUGAAGCCUAUAAUAAGAAUCCCCUCCUUUCGCUCUAACAAGCAAAUUCCCUGUUUUCUGAGAAGCCUUUCUAGGAAGGCAGUGCUGAAUGUGUACCAGACUCGAAAAGAAAGCCUAUCUAUGCUGCCAUUUUCACUUUUUUUAUUUUUCUCAUUUGCAACUCAGCUCACAUCCAGCUCGAAGGAGCAAUUCUGCGUGCUGAAAACGCUGCAGCUGGUUUCCUCCAGCGCUCCCCUCCUUCAGAGCGAGGGAGGCAGCGGUGGGCUCACGCAAGAUUGGCUUAAAUGGGAAAUCAAUACUGGUUCCUCAGCUCCUACAAAAGAGCUGAACUGGGCUGGAUUGGCUCCAAGCAGAAAAAAAAGGAGUUAAGUGAAAAAAAAUAAACCUGGCUGCCAGUGGGAUAGGUAUUCUCCUGCCUACCACGCUGUUUGGGUCUCUGCCACUGAACCCAUCACAAGAAGACUGAGAUAACCUGGCUUACCUCCUACCAUCUGUUUUUCAAUGGAUGAUAAAUAUUGGAAAAAUAAAAGUUGGAGGCUUUUUAUUCCCCGGACAUAUAUUAGCUUAUAAACACAUAAAUGUUUCUGUUCAGCAUCAGUAAGAAUUUGUACCUUGUACUGUAUUAACCGGUUACAAAAAGGGAUUGAAAACUUAUUCUGCAGAUGAAAAGUGGAGUCAUCGGUGUGAUUCCUUGUUCUACAGCAAAGGAGAAAUAUGUGAUCUAAUUAGCAAUUCCAUCAGACUUUGCUCAGUGAUUGGAACUCAGUUUCACAGGCUUUCACUUGACAAGACUUUGUAUUUAAUCUCUUGUAUUAAAGUUUUCUAUGAAAUAAAUCUCAAUAAAAUUUGUAUUUCUGAAA